rnacentral:rRNA from 1 species
GCUAAUACCGGAUGAUGACGUAAGUCCAAAGAUUUAUCACCCAAGGAUGAGCCCGCGUAGGAUUAGCUAGUUGGUGGGGUAAAGGCCCACCAAGGCGACGAUCCUUAGCUGGUCUGAGAGGAUGAUCAGCCACACUGGGACUGAGACACGGCCCAGACUCCUACGGGAGGCAGCAGUGGGGAAUAUUGGACAAUGGGCGAAAGCCUGAUCCAGCAAUGCCGCGUGAGUGAUGAAGGCCUUAGGGUUGUAAAGCUCUUUUACCCGGGAUGAUAAUGACAGUACCGGGAGAAUAAGCUCCGGCUAACUCCGUGCCAGCAGCCGCGGUAAUACGGAGGGAGCUAGCGUUGUUCGGAAUUACUGGGCGUAAAGCGCACGUAGGCGGCUUUGUAAGUUAGAGGUGAAAGCCUGGAGCUCAACUCCAGAAUUGCCUUUAAGACUGCAUCGCUCGAAUCCAGGAGAGGUGAGUGGAAUUCCGAGUGUAGAGGUGAAAUUCGUAGAUAUUCGGAAGAACACCAGUGGCGAAGGCGGCUC